rnacentral:sRNA from 1 species
UCUCGUUUAAACAAUGUAUUCCCUAACCUCUAAUACAUCUCUGUAACUCUGUAGUUACGCCAAAUGGAUUAAAUUCAACGAAAUAAA